rnacentral:ncRNA from 1 species
GCGGAUGGAGCUAUUGGGAGUCGCAGAUACCAGGUGGCUGCAACUGUUUAUUAAAAACACAGCACUGUGCAAAAUCGUAAGAUGACGUAUACGGUGUGACGCCUGCCCGGUGCCGGAAGGUUAAUUGAUGGGGUUAGACUUAGGUCGAAGCUCUUGAUCGAAGCCCCGGUAAACGGCGGCCGUAACUAUAACGGUCCUAAGGUAGCGAAAUUCCUUGUCGGGUAAGUUCCGACCUGCACGAAUGGCGUAAUGAUGGCCACGCUGUCUCCACCCGAGACUCAGUGAAAUUGAAAUCGCUGUGAAGAUGCAGUGUACCCGCGGCUAGACGGAAAGACCCCGUGAACCUUUACUACAGCUUGGCACUGAACAUUGACCCUACAUGUGUAGGAUAGGUGGGAGACUUUGAAACUUGGGCGCCAGUUCAAGUGGAGUCAACCUUGAAAUACCACCCUUGUAGUGUUGAUGUUCUAACUUAGACCCCUUAUCGGGGUUGAGGACAGUGCCUGGUGGGUAGUUUGACUGGGGCGGUCUCCUCCCAAAGAGUAACGGAGGAGCACGAAGGUGGGCUAAACACGGUUGGACAUCGUGUGGUUAGUGCAAUGGCAUAAGCCCGCUUGACUGCGAGAAUGACAAUUCGAGCAGGUGCGAAAGCAGGUCAUAGUGAUCCGGUGGUUCUGAAUGGAAGGGCCAUCGCUCAACGGAUAAAAGGUACUCCGGGGAUAACAGGCUGAUACCGCCCAAGAGUUCAUAUCGACGGCGGUGUUUGGCACCUCGAUGUCGGCUCAUCACAUCCUGGGGCUGAAGUCGGUCCCAAGGGUAUGGCUGUUCGCCAUUUAAAGUGGUACGCGAGCUGGGUUUAGAACGUCGUGAGACAGUUCGGUCCCUAUCUGCCGUGGGCGUUGGAAGAUUGAAGGGGGCUGCUCCUAGUACGAGAGGACCGGAGUGGACGAACCUCUGGUGUUCGGGUUGUCAUGCCAAUGGCAUUGCCCGGUAGCUAAGUUCGGAAUCGAUAAGCGCUGAAAGCAUCUAAGCGCGAAGCGAGCCCUGAGAUGAGUCUUCCCUGGCACUUUAAGUGUCCUAAAGGGUUGUUCGAGACUAGAACGUUGAUAGGCAGGGUGUGUAAGUGCUG